GAUGAGAGGUGAAGAAUUUAUCCAUCGACCCUUGUCUUCCGUCAGCCAAGGGUGGCCUCAGGAGCACCAACCUCCCUGUUCGCCCCAGCUCUGCAUUCUGCAAGCCUGAGCACCUCGUGGUCCCUGUUUCCUGAGGCAUCAGGGAGUGUUCUUGUGACUGAGAAGGCCAGAGACGCAGUGAGAAAGAACAGUGCCAUAUUUGGAAUCUGCUAGUCUGCUUCAAAUCUGAGUUUGACCAGCAAUGAUGCGUCCACAGGACACUGGAGAUUGGCCAAUAUAACAAUAUAUGACAUUUUUGGAAUUUCUCACCUUGGCUCCCUUGAAAAUAUUUGGAUACAGGUCCUUCUCCAGACUUCAGACAACUCUGAAAAUCCAAGUCUGUUGCUAGAAGAUAUCUCACCCUAAGAACACAUAAUUUUGGUGCCCUAAUUUUAUAUGAGGUUAUGCUUAGUCAGCAGAACUUCCCAGCACCUAUACCA